CUUUUAUUUCUCUUCUUCUUCUUUCUCUCUAGUUGUAAUCUAAUUAUGUCUAUUGGCCACUACAGCUAAAUAAGAUCUUCCUACUCCAUGUCUAUAAAGCAACUACAAUUAUUAUGGGAGGAAGAGCAGCCCCAUUGCUAAGCUACUAAGUCUGUUUUUUCACAGCAUAGUGAUUGUUUAUAUUAUUUAUUUUGUUUAUGUAAAUCUAUAUGCUGGCAUGCUUCAGCUAAUUUUUC